rnacentral:ncRNA from 1 species
UUCUUUCAUGGAGGACCAGAUUUGGGUACCACCCCAGUAUUUACCCAUCUUUAACGGCCCAUGUAUUUCGUACAUUCCUGCCAGCCAACAUGAAUAUCACCCG